rnacentral:rRNA from 1 species
GACGAACGCUGGCGGCGUGCUUAACACAUGCAAGUCGAACGGAAAGGCCCUGCUUGCAGGGUACUCGCGUGGCGAACGGGUGAGUAACACGUGGGUGUUCUCCCCUGCACUUCGGGGUAAGCCUUCGAAACUGUGUCUCUUACCGGAUAGGAGCCAUUUUUCUUGUGGUUGUUGGAUAGUUUUUUCGGUGUAGGAUGAGCUCGCGGCCUAUCAGCUUGUUGGUGGGGUAAUGGCCUACCAAGGCGGCGACGGGUAGCCGGCCUGCGUGGGUGGACGGCCACAAUGGGGCUGGGGUACGGGCCAGGCUCCCACGGGAGGCAGCAGGGGGGAAUAUUGGACAAUGGGGGCGAGCCUGAUGCAGCGACGCCGCGUGGGGGAUGACGGCCUUCGGGUUGUAAACUCCGUUCGCUAGGGACGAAGCUGUGUGUGACGGUACCUAGAUAAGAAGCACCGGCUAACUACGUG